rnacentral:rRNA from 1 species
UGGUGGAGUGAUUUGUCUGGUUAAUUCCGUUAACGAACGAGACCUCGACCUGCUAAAUAGUUAGGCGUAUCUUAGGAUACGUACGUGACUUCUUAGAGGGACUAUCAGGAGAGUAUCCGAUGGAAGUUCGAGGCAAUAACA